rnacentral:pre_miRNA from 1 species
CUGACAGAAAGAGUAGUGAGCACGCGCAUCCACAAAGGUAUACUCUUUAUACAAUUGCCUGCGUGUGCUCACUCUCUUCUGUCAG